AUUGAACGCUGGCGGCAUGCCUUACACAUGCAAGUCGAACGGUAACAGGUCUUCGGAUGCUGACGAGUGGCGCACGGGUGAGUAAUACAUCGGAACGUGCCCGAUCGUGGGGGAUAACGGAGCGAAAGCUUUGCUAAUACCGCAUACGAUCUACGGAUGAAAGCAGGGGACCGCAAGGCCUUGCGCGGACGGAGCGGCCGAUGGCAGAUUAGGUAGUUGGUGGGAUAAAAGCUUACCAAGCCGACGAUCUGUAGCUGGUCUGAGAGGACGACCAGCCACACGGGGACUGAGACACGGCCCAGACUCCUACGGGAGGCAGCAGUGGGGAAUUUUGGACAAUGGGCGAAAGCCUGAUCCAGCCAUGCCGCGUGCAGGAUGAAGGCCUUCGGGUUGUAAACUGCUUUUGUACGGAACGAAAAGACUCUUUCUAAUAAAGAGGGUCCAUGACGGUACCGUAAGAAUAAGCACCGGCUAACUACGUG
rnacentral:rRNA from 1 species